rnacentral:lncRNA from 1 species
CCUGGGUCUGCACACCGCGCACUUCCUCCUGCCACAGCUGCAUGGGUCAGGGGCUCCCGAAUGAGACAUCCUGUGUUGAUCGCAGCCGUCUCCCAGCAUGUGGAGCAACACUAGGACCGUGGUAGAUGUUCAGUCAUGUUCGCUGAAGGAAGAAGGGAGUGAAUGAAUGUCUUCUCUGAGGAUAGCUGAGCAUCCGUGCAUCCGUCUGGCCAUGAGAACUUGGUUGCGCUCACAUGAGGAUCCUGAGCAGAGUCGCAGUGCACGCUCUGCGGGGAGCCGGAAGCAGCAAGAGGCAAAUUGGCUAGAAAAAGAGUCAGCCUUGGGGAACUCGGGACACAGCCAACCCCAGGAAUGUGCCUUUGGGUCAGAGCCCAGCCCAGCU